CAAUUAUUACUUAAUAUACACAUGCAAGUCUCCGCACCCCUGUGAAAACGCCCUUAAAUCCCCACUAGGGAUAAGGAGCUGGUAUCAGGCACAAUACUUAGCCCAAGACACCUAGCUAUGCCACACCCACACGGGAAUUCAGCAGUGAUUAACAUUGAAAAUAAGCGACAGCUUGACUCAGUUAAAGUAAAAAGAGCCGGCAAAUCUGGUGCCAGCCGCCGCGGUUACACCAUGUGGCCCAAAUUGACCCCCUUCGGCGUAAAGCGUGAUUAAAGUUUUUACUAAAUUAUAGCUGAACUAAAACUAAGCUGUGACACGCUUGUAUUUAGGAAAAUCAAAAACGAAAGUUACUGUAAUUAAAACAACUUGAACCCACGACAGUUGAGACACAAACUGGGAUUAGAUACCCCACUAUGCUUAACCGUAAACUUUAAAUUACACCGAUAUCGCCUGGGAACUACGAGCAAAGCUUAAAACCCAAAGGACUUGACGGUACCCCACAUCCCCCUAGAGGAGCCUGUCCUGUAAUCGACAACCCCCGUUCAACCUCACCAUUUUUAGCCUAUCAGCCUGUAUACCUCCGUCGUCAGCUUACCACGUGAGCGACCCUAAGUGAGCCUAAUGCCCACACGCCAACACGUCAGGUCAAGGUGCAGCAAAUAAAAUGGGAAGAGAUGGGCUACACUCUCUACUGUAGAAGAUACGAAAGACUAUUUAUGAAACCUAGUCGAAAGGCGGAUUUAGUAGUAAAAAGAGACAAGAGCGCUCUUUUUAACACGGCACUGGGGUGUGUACACACCGCCCGUCACCCUCUUCGAAGCUAACAGAAAGUCCAUAACACACCUAAGCACGAUAGAAGAGGUAAGUCGUAACAUGGUAAGUAUACCGGAAGGUGUGCUUGGAAACAAAAUAUAGCUUAACCAAAGCAUCUCGCUUACACCGAGAAAAUAUCUGUUAAACCCGGAUUAUUUUGAGCUAAUAAUCUAGCCCCCCAAUAUCAAAUGAAACCAUUAACUUUAUAACAUAAACUAAAACAUUUUAUAAAUUUAGUAAAGGCGAUUAAAAAAUUGAUAGGAGCUAUAAAAAAGUACCGCAAGGGAAA
rnacentral:ncRNA from 1 species